rnacentral:piRNA from 1 species
GGCUGAGUGCAUGCAGCCUACGUAGACGGU